GUAGCAUUGUGUGAUGUGGUAGAAGUUUACCGACAUUUCAGAGGCACCUUACAUGUCAUGACCUAUUCAAUGGCAUCUAUAGGGUGGAUGGGAAUUCAGUAGGCAUUGAGAAAUGGUUAUAACCUCUAUAUUUCCAAUGUAUAGCAAUUAUUUAAUGCCUACUUACUUCCCACCCACUCUGUAGAACAGGGAAAUUGUUUGCAUUGGCACUGUUAAGAAUAACAGAAAUAAUACCCCUAAUUUUGGUCCCAGGGCCCUCAAAAUUAAGAAAGGGUAUAUUGUGAGUGCAGUUCAUGGCAACUUCACACCAGUGUAUUAGUAAUACAGCAUUCAUCUAUGUGCAGCUGAAAGGAAUUUUUGGGAUCAAUAGGGAGUACUCUGAAAUCCAAAGUAGUUCAAAACUAUGAUAAACACACAUAGGCAAUGUCAAUAAACGUGACAGGAUGGCUAAGAGUUAUGGUAAUAAGUCAAAAGUAAGAAACCAAAAUGAAAUCAGAAGCAGUUCCACUCCUCAUGUAGUAGACUCUCUGAACCUCCUCCAUGACACUUGAGUGAAGGCCACCCUUGUUGCUAGGCAACUGUUUAUGCCAGUUAUGGAAAAGUUGUGCAGGUGCAAACAUGGUGUAUUAAUGAGCAUGUCAUAUGUUUGUUCUUGAACAUUACUUUGCAUCAGAAUUGUUUACUGCUGUUUGUGAAGCAUUUAGUGAUGCAUGUGCUGCAACGACUUACCAAAUAAGAUGAUAACAUACUGAACAGAAACAAUUUUGUGACAAGCUAUGUUUAUCAGAUGGAGAAGAAACGUUUACAUGAAACAUUCACAUUUCCAACCAGAUACAUUAAUAAAAUUACAAUAUUUUCAAAGUAUGAAGUUAACAAUAGCAGACAAUAUAAUUAGAAGUUUCUUGUGGACACAUGAAGCGUAGGGUGUUCUGGACAGUGCAAGCCAUAUGGGCAUGGGCAUUGUCAUGCAACGUGAUGUUACCCCUUGUGGCAUUGAUGGCGAUGUCAGGGUCAUUGAACACCAACAUCAGUGGUUGUAUAUUAAUGCAAAGAAAAACAGUCCUGAUUCUGCACCUCGAAUGCUGGCAUUGAACUACAUCACAUUGGUCUCAUUUGCUGUAACAUACCUGCUCUAUUGCAGAUGCUGGUAUGUCAUGCACACAACCAUAUGAUCACAAAGUGAUUGGCUGUAUUUGCUAGAAGGCUGUGAUCAUUUUUUCAUUUGAACCCUCUUAUAUCAGUUGUCUUGUGAAAUGUAAGAAUUUAUGUUGUUAAUUAUAUCAAACAUAAUUAAUGA